GAUGAACGCUGGCGGCGUGCUUAACACAUGCAAGUCGAACGGUGAAGCAGGAGCUUGCUCUUGUGGAUCAGUGGCGAACGGGUGAGUAACACGUGAGCAACCUGCCCCUGACUCUGGGAUAAGCGCUGGAAACGGCGUCUAAUACUGGAUAUGUGAUGUGACCGCAUGGUCUGCAUCUGGAAAGAAUUUCGGUUCGGGAUGGACUCGCGGCCUAUCAGCUUGUUGGUGAGGUAAUGGCUCACCAAGGCGACGACGGGUAGCCGGCCUGAGAGGGUGACCGGCCACACUGGGACUGAGACACGGCCCAGACUCCUACGGGAGGCAGCAGUGGGGAAUAUUGCACAAUGGGCGCAAGCCUGAUGCAGCAACGCCGCGUGAGGGAUGACGGCCUUCGGGUUGUAAACCUCUUUUAGUAGGGAAGAAGCGAAAGUGACGGUACCUGCAGAAAAAGCACCGGCUAACUACGUGCCAGCCGCCGCAGUAA
rnacentral:rRNA from 1 species